GACGCUGGUGACGCAAAAAAUAACAGCGUCUCAUUUUGUCCAUAUUUUCUCUCCUCUGUGGCUGAAAAACGGUUAAAAGCAGCGGAUCCUGCGUCGAUUCUUCCCUAGCUUCCGUUAAAUUUUGUGACGCUCAUCUCGAUCGCAGCGUUUGACUAACGAACAGGGCUAGUGUAGAAAAUUUAUGGUUUUCACCACCGUCUCAUAAAAUUUACGGUCUUACUAUGUAGAUGCUUUGAGCAAGUUCCCCCACACCAACAGGAUGCUUUCGCGCAACGCCAAGCUUCUAAAACGCAACAUAAGUUAAACAUGCUGAGGAACACACAUCAAUGAGACAUCAUAACUCAGCUGCGCAAGGCGGUGUAUCAAAUGACUGCACCCCAGUCAUUUGCUUCUGGUCCUCACCUAAUUACAUGGUUCCCGCAUUGUUAUAGCAGAUAGAUCUUGCCACUAGACACGGUACGACACGCGAUAACGAGCAACGCGGCUUCCAAUUCGUGCCUUCAAUGCAUAUGCUUCCAAAAUCUCAACUCCACGUUAGUAACAAAAUUUUAAUUACAUUCCUUUGCAUGAAUCACUCAAACAACAAAAGCAGGGAAAUGGGAGCUGGUUAGGGAUGUUUACUAUGGAAUGGAGAAUUCGUUAGGGAUGUCUUAGAUGCAGCAGAUUGAAGGUUCAGCAUCUGCUGCCCGCAAGUCCAUGAGCCACCAUCACCCUUGAAAGAUCUUCUCGAGACUCCUAGCUUCCAAAUCAAAAUCCAUGUUGCCAACGUUGCAGGAUUCAUGGCCAUAACUACCACCAAGUCGCCUCCCUUUUACCAGUUGACGGGAAACAAUGAAUUAGACAAUAGGAGGAAAGCGCUAAGGGGUCAACCAUCCACAAAUAUGAUUCCAGAUGAAAGAACACAUUAUACAAUAAUAAUUUAGUUAAAUUAGAUGAUAUAAUUUAAUAAUAAAUAUAUUUCAAGGAAAAAAAAAGAGGAUGGAGAAAAUGUACUUACAAUAUUUUUCAGAUUUUAUUAAACUCAUGCCAAAGAGAUAAAAUAGUGAAUUUGGUGAAAA